rnacentral:misc_RNA from 1 species
GAUGAAGAACGUAGCGAAAUGCGAUACGUAAUGUGAAUUGCAGAAUUCAGUGAAUCAUCGAAUCUUUGAACGCAUAUUGCGCUCUCUGGUAUUCCGGAGAGCAUGCUUGUUUGAGUAUCAGUAAACACCUCAACUUCCAUAUCUUUUUUGAAAUGGGAGUUGGACUUGAGUGAUCCCAACGCUUUUCCUCACCGAAAAGUGGCGGGUUACUUGAAAUGCAGGUGCAGCUGGACUUUUCUCUGAGCUAUAAGCAUAUCUAUUUAGUCUGCCUAAAAAACAGAUUAUUACCUUUGCUGCAGCUAACAUAAAGGAGAUUAGUUCUUGUGCUGACUGAUGCAGGAUUCACAAAGACAGCUUCGGCCGACUUUGUAAACUCGAUCUCAAAUCAAGUAAGACUACCCGCUGAACUUAAGCAUAUCAAUAAGCGGAGGA